GCACGGCACCCUCAGCAGCGAGCACAGGAGGUGGUGCUCAUCGGCUUUGCACGAGUGAAACACUGCGCCGCACGUUAGAGGGCAGCUGUUUUUGCCACCGCUGACCAUAGUGCAACAGCCAAGGUCUCAAAACUGCACUGUACUUUACAUCACUUAAAUUCGCCACUUUGUUGAUAUCAGCUCCAACUUUUGCUACCUGUCUAUUAAAUGAAGCAUACAAUUAAUUUCAUAGAACUGGUCGCAGCAUCAUCGCUGUCAGUCUAAACUCCGAACGUGUUUGGAUGACUUCAGUCGGGGGUCUAUAUUUAACAUGAUGCUAACCUUGGCUAAAAACAAUAGCAUUGUCGGAAGUUUCGCUGGCCCUUUCUUCAAGCUAUAGCGAUAUAUAACAAACAAA